rnacentral:rRNA from 1 species
UGAUGAGGAUGCGGCGCAUUAGCUAGUUGGUAGGGUAAUGGCCUACCAAGGCAAUGAUGCGUAGCCGAUCUGAGAGGAUGAACGGCCACAUUGGGACUGAGACACGGCCCAAACUUCUACGGAAGGCAGCAGUAGGGAAUUUUUCACAAUGGGCGAAAGCCUGAUGGAGCAAUGCCGCGUGACUGAUGAAGGUCUUCGGAUUGUAAAGGUCUGUUGUAAGGGAAGAAAUGGUAAAACAAGAAAUGGUUUUAUCUAUGACGGUACCUUACCAGAAAGCCACGGCUAACUAUGUGCCAGCAGCCGCGGUAAUACAUAGGUGGCGAGCGUUAUCCGGAUUUAUUGGGCGUAAAGGGUGCGUAGACGGUUUUGCAAGUCUGAGGUUAAAUUUAGGAGCUCAACUCCUAAUCGCCUUGGAAACUACAAGACUAGAGUAUAGGAGAGGUUAGUGGAAUUCCAUGUGUAGCGGUGGAAUGUGUAGAUAUAUGGAGGAACACCAGUGGCGAAGGCGGCUAACUGGCCUAUCACUGAUGUUGAAGCACGAAAGCGUGGGGAGCAAAUAGGAUUAGAUACCCUAGUAGUCCACGCUGUAAACGAUGAGUACUAAGUGUUGCCAUAAAGGCAGUGCUGUAGCUAACGCAUUAAGUACUCCGCCUGAGUAGUAUGCUCGCAAGAGUGAAACUCAAAAGGAAUUGAC